rnacentral:rRNA from 1 species
GCUUACUGGCGGACGGGUGAGUAACGCGUGAGAUUCCCGCCCUGAAGUGGGGAAUAACGGCGAGAAAUCGGCGCUAAUACCGCAUAAUGUCGGAGAUCCUCUUGUUUUUCCGACCAAAGGAUUUAUUCGCUUUAGGAUGGUCUCGCGUCCGAUUAGUUAGUUGGUGGGGUAACGGCCUACCAAGACCGCGAUCGGUAGCCGAACUGAGAGGUUGAUCGGCCACACUGGGACUGAGACUCUUUCUUUUUCUUCUUACGGGAGGCAGCAGUGGGGAUUAUUGGGCAUUGGGCGAAAGCCUGACCCAGCAAUGCCGCGUGAAGGAUGAAGGUCCUCCGGAUUGUAAACUUCUUUGAUUGGGGGAAGAAAACCAGGACCCAAAGAGGAGGGCGGCUAACUACGUGCCAGCAGCCGCGGUAAUACGUACCGUCACAACUCGCUCUCCUGAUUACUGGGUGUAAAGGGCGUGUAGGCGGCUUGCACCCCAUGUCAAAUUCCGAGCUCACUGGGCGCUGAUCUGAACUGCAAACCUGAUUGCUGAGAGGAAGCGGAAUUCCUAGUGUAGCGGCAAUGCGCGAAUUAGAGGAACACGUGGCGAUGCUGCUUUCCUGAACCGUACUGACCUGAGCCGAAGCGUGGGGAGCAAACGAUUAAUACCCUGUAGUCCACGCGUAACGAUGAAAUCUAGUGUAGGGUAUCGACUCCUCUGUGCCGAUCUAACACUUAGGAUCACUGGGGAUACGGCCAAGGUUGA